AGGAUUCAUAACAUUCUGUCACUUCAAUUUAAUGUUCUUACCAAUAAAAAAGAGAAGAGACUAUUUUGUCAUCAUUAAUAUGGCAGAUAGAAUUGUAAUUAUAUGCAAAUGAUCAAAUAUAUUUAAUUGCACAAUAGCUUAACUGCAACAUGAGAGGGACCAGAUGAUGGAAUAUUCUAUUUCUACAAAUGAAAGUACAUUUGGGAAUGCAAAUCUUUUGAAUAUAAGUCAAAAGAAACAAAUACUUGUUAUGCACCUUUGAAAAAGAGAAGACUGUGCUAGGUGCUAUACAGAAGAUUAUGCCAACAAGGAGGAAGAUAUUUGAUAUCUAAAAGAAGCUCAGCAAAACUGAAAAGACAACUGAAAUAUAAGGAAAAGAUGCAACAUUUCUGUUGUUUCAGCAUGGUUCAAAUACAUAGAAAACAAUGAAAAACAUCCUUCAAAAUUACAUAAUGAACUAUUGAAAGCAGAACCCUAGUGAAAGAAUCUUCCUUAAUUCUAUGAUUUGAGAACAAUGAACUACUUUGAGCUGAGGCCAUACAUAGACAGUAGUCCUCUCUCGGGCUCUCUAAGAACAUACUAUUCACUGUCUUCACUGAAAUGAUGAGUAUUCACAGGUGAGAGAUGUUUCCUAUUGGGCUCAAGAGACUACAGUGGACUCUUACUGCUGAGCAACUCAAAUUCCUAUUUUUAGCAGUGUUUGAUCUUGCUCCCUCACUGACCUGUUCUCAUUUUGAUUUGAUGGCUCAUGAAUGAUUGCUUGAGUUCCUAGUACACACCUCUGACUCCCCACUGUCGACCACAUCUGACUUGAUACUACAUUCAACUGCCUUUCAUCUAGCACUGUUGGUCAGGCUUUUCAUCACUGGAUUGUAUGACUAGGAGGAAGUCACAGCUUUGGUGGGUCUCAGUUUUUCCAUCUGAGAAUGAGUAAUUUGGACUAGAUAUCCCUGAUGAGGCAAUUCAUAAAGAGAAUUAUAGACCCAAGUUAUAUAUAUAAUUCUAUGACAGAAUUAAGACCACUUGCUUUCCAUAAUUGUGACUUAUUAGUAACAGUCUACUUUGCACAAUAUGUCUCACCUCCAGGAAACAAUUGAAUCUCAUGAUAAUUCUGAAAGACCCCUACCAUUCUUUUCUGGUUUGGUCCCAGCUGACCCCUACAUCUGUUUCCCAUUCUUUAGAGAGAAUUAAAUGAGUUUUGAAAUGAACAAAGUGCCCUAUUUGUAUUUGACAUGCCAAGUUAUCCUCCAAGCGUGCUACCAAUGACAAUACUAAAAUAUCAGUAGAUAAUGUUUAAAUAACAACCAAUGACGAUUCUGUAUUAUUUAGAUUCUUCCUCUCAUAACUAAAGAGGAAUUAUUUAUUCAUUAAGGACUGAUCAAAUAUCAUGAUUCCUCAAAGCCAGUGAACCUGGAGGUAUGCAUGUUUUUCCCUUCCAUUGCUGAAUUUCAACAUGGCUGAACUAAACUUCCAGCAAAUUCACAUCUGAAAUAUCUGACUGAAUGAUAUUUUGGUUUAAAACAGGUUAUUUUCAUGUGCCUUGUCCAUAAGCAAUGUGUUUCCAUGGAUAUCUUGCUACCCACUCAUUUCUAAUAAUAAGUGGUAUAUGAUAAUUCAUGGAAACUUAAUGAAAAAAAGCUAACCUCCCUCAGAUGUGCACCUACACAGAUAUGUGCAAGAUUGGAUAACUGUAAGUAAUCUUUGGGAAGGGCUUUGUAGAAUUAGUCUCAUUAUUGGAGCAUCAUACAUUUGUCAGAUACAAUGACUCCCCUUAUUGCUAGCUGGGGUAAACAAGAAACAAAUACAAAUAAAAGAACCAAGUUAAAACUUCACAGUGACAAUAAUAGAUAAACAGUAAAGUAUUAAGGUUCUAACAAAGAGAGCACCAACGGAGGAUAGCAAUAGAAGGCUACAAAAAACACGGGGGAAUUCUUAGUGUUUACCAAAAAAACCUGCCUGAGCAAUAUUUUUCUGUUAUGUUAAUGGUGCACAUGGCAUGCAAAAUAAAACAACUCAUCCUUUGUUGAAUGAAAGCAAAUUAUAUUUUCUCUUUGUGCAGAAUACCAGAACUAUGACUAUACUUACACAAAAUAAAACUGGAUAAUUAAAAUAUAGCCUUAGUAAAGCAGAAAUAUACAAGUAAAACUACCAGCAACACAUUUGAAUUAAUUAUGAAGGUGCUAGUGGUAUUUCUAAUUAAGCAAUGAAGAAUUUAUCAUAAUGAUGUCUUCAUUUGGCUUUAUUAGAGUAUCAAAUCAAUUUGUGGGUAACUGCUAUAGCUGAAUCAUCGCCACUUAUUGUCAAGUACUGCCAAAUUGAUGUUCCCCACCUCCCACUUAGUUUCUUGUGAUGAAAACAUUUGUUCUUCUUGAAAAGUGGUGGAACACUGGUUUUUCAAGCAUUCAGUUAAAUAGCAAAUACAGAACAAAUAAAUGCAUUUGACAUUUAGACCAGGAAUAUAAAGAAUUCAAAUGAGAUUUUGAAAAGGAAAUUGGAAUGUUAUACACAAUGUGCAAAGUCCAAAUUUCAGGUUGUUAAAUGCAGAAAUCUGGUGAAUGUUAAUUCUUAAAAGCUCUAAAACAUGUAAUAGUUUCAACUAAAUUAAUGCAAAUAUAUAACACACAUACAAAAACAUUAUUAAUUGUUACCUAGUUACAAAGGACUACCUCCAAAAGUAAUUGUUGAAGAAGUUUUUAACUUUUAUCUGAGCUUAGCACAGUGUCCAGCACAUUAAAUGCUUAUUGACUUAUGUGAAUAAACAUACACAUAAAAAAGUGGACACACAAAAUUAAUUAAAAAUUUUAGAUAAGUGAGUAGUCUGAAUAUGGGAUGUAAGAGUGUUAGCCAGAAACUAUUUUCUUUUUUCAAACUUUAUUAAAAUAUUCCACACACAGUUUAUUUUUUGAUUAUUAUUUGAACACAAUUUCACAGAAUCAUAUAACUUUUAAUUUCAAGGGUUCUCAAAAAAUAACUAGUCCAACAAGAUCUUAAAAAGAACCUUUCUAUAACAUGAUUCACAAAUUGUCAUCCAUCCUUAAAGACCUCAAGUAAUGAAAAACAAGGUGACUCCUGAACGAGUCUAUAAUCUGUUUGUUUUUUAAUUAUUGAGGAUCUUAUAUGAUGAUAGCCAUCAAGCUUUCAGAUAAAGAUCCUAUUGGAAGUGUGUUAAACAUAGCUGACAUAAGGAGAUACCUUGAAAGUACCAUUGUAAAAGAAAGGAUAUAUGCCCUGAUCCCUUUUUCUGUCCUUUUAAUUGUUUAACACAAAAGUCAAAGAAAAGUAAGAAACAGUACAAAUAGGAGAAAUUUCUUUCAAAAUAACUGAAAAGUGACUAUUGGGAUAUUAUUCUAUCCCACAUCCACACAUAUAAUACAAGAAUGUAACAAUAAAUCUCUUCAUAAAAAUAAAGUUAGACACAUAAUUGGAUAUAUAAUCAAUCUCAUGGAUAGGCCAUGUUAUUAUAACAAAAUUAAAAUAAUAUUUAAUUAAAUUUGAAGUAUGCUAAGCAAAUUUCCUAAAAGGAUAUAUCCUUAAAAACUGAAGGAAGCUAGAACUAAUUUGAAAGAAUAAACAUUAUAUAACCUGAAGGGAAAUAAAGAAAAAUACAAUGAAAAUGACAUUAUCUGGGCUUAGUAUAAAAAUAUUCAUUAUAAAAUUUUUAUACUGGUUAAAAUACAGUCAUUAAAAGUUCAUAAUAAUUGGCAUUCACAUAAUGCUGUGACUUACAAAACCUUUACAUGUUAUUUCACUUGAUCCUCCGAAGCAUACAGUGAAAAAGCUACUAUUAUUAUUCCCCAUUUUACAAAUUAGGAAACUAAGGUAAUUGAAAUUAACUAUUUUUCUAGUGUCACACAGUCAACAAGCACUUGAAGUGGAAUUUGAACACAGAACUAUAAGAAUUCAAUUUAAGUUAUAUAGCCACUAUUCCAUCUAGCUUCCUAGAAAAUAAAUACAAUUGAUAAUUCUGAUAUAUAUAUAUAUAUAUAUAUAUGCAUAUAUAUGUAAUUAGAAAGCUUUUUCAUCAAUACAAGAGAUGGAAUUAGAAAAGAAAUGGUAGAUUGAGCAAAUAUUUCUAUUAAAUAGGGGAUACAGCUGAUCACUGGAGCUAUUAUUUUAUUGGUAUAGGAAUUCCUAAGUGAGGAAUUCUUUUCUACCAACAUUGGGCCUAAUAUCACUUUUUUAGGUUUAAGGUGAUAGAAAGUGUAGGGAGAAUUAGUUGACACAAAUGUAUUUAACCAAGAUCAAUUCCCUAUGAAGAGGGAAAAUUUCAAAUUCUAAAUGGGUAUUAAAAUGUGCACUGACUGCCCUAGUUGAAGUUCUUUUUGGGUUUUGUUUUUUAAAAAUUUUUCCUCCUUCCUCACAAUGCCUGUAACAUUUUUCCUGGACCACUCUUUUUUACUAUCACAUUCUCUCUUAAAUUAUAGGUAUAUAGAUUUAUGACUAAUACUUUCUUAGAAUGUAAACUUUUCGAGGACAAUUUUACCUUUGACUCCACAAUAACCAGCACAGAUUCCUUCCUAUAAUCUCUUCUUAAAUGUUUGUUGAAUGAAUCGAUAAUCACAUACUUCCCUGAAUGAAUCGAUAAUCACAUACUUCCCUAAGAAACACAUAUUUAACUACUUUGUCUUUAUUUCUCUUCAUUUUUUCAUGUUUAUUCUGUACAUCCUUGCACUUCUACUCUAUGCAAAUGAAAGUACUUAUAUUUAUUCUGUACAUUUCUUUACUUUUGCCAUUAGAAUAAAAGUUCCCAGCAAAGAAGACUUACUUAAAUCAUUGUAUCAUACCUAAAAAUGUGCCUAGCUCAUAAUUGGUACUUAAUACAAGCUUUAAAAAGUUAUCAUAUUCCUGAUUUGGAAAUAGGUAAUUGGCUGGGAACCUGAACACAAGCCUUCUGACUGCAAACUGAGCUUUACUUUCUAUAUAAAAAUUGUAAAAAAAUGUAUAUAAAAAUAUAAAAAAUUGUAAAAUUUUCAUCUAAGGGAUCAUCUAGUCCUUUCCCUUCAUCUUAGAGAUGAGAAAUUGAAAUACUAUAGAAGUGAAGUAAUUUGUGUUAUAUAAAAGAAAGUUUAAUGAAAGUAAAAUAACAACUAGCAUAUCUUUCAAAAUCUGAAUGUGAUAGAGGGGCUAACUGCUAAAAGCUUAUUUAAGAAAAUGAAUUUCAUUUAUAAAUAAAUGAAUUUAAUAGGAAAUAUAUAUUACAUAAGUAAAAGGUUCACAAAUUUAAUUAGAAAUUAAAUUAACUGCUUCACCUUAUAUGAGUAUAGCUAUGUUCACAAAACUGGUAUAAUAGUUCCUAACUUAAAAGAUGAAAAUAAGACAGGAACUUAUUUGCUUAAACUAUAGAACUAACUUCUAAAUCUAAGCAGGUAAUUUCAGGUCUAAAUUAUUUCCUUUAUAUAUUAUAGAUAUAUGGAUUUUUUUUUGCUAUUAAUGAAACUCUUUGCUUGAUAAACUGAGUUUGACAUGUAAACAAUGAUACUCCCAGGGUGGCUAAUGAAUAAGGUUAUAUUUUGGAUUGAUAAAGGCAGUGUAUAUUUUCAUUAAGGUUGCCUUGAAUCACCUCUCCUUGUCAAUAAGUAUAAAUGCCAUAUGGCUGAGGGUUUGGAGAAAGGGAGAAUGAGGAAAGGGAUGGAAUUGGGUAUAGUAAGGGGCAGGAGAAAAGAAAUAAUUUACAAGAGUUCUAAAUAUGUUGUUCAUAAAAUAAAUUAUAAUAUUAAUAUGAAACAAGUAGCCUGCCUUGGAGUUAAAUUAAACCUAAAAGAAGAAUGUGAUGAUUGUUCAGUAAUGAAGAAUAGAUGGUUCAUCAGCAUAAUCCCUUGUCAACUUUGGGCUUCAGUAAUUCAACAGGUUAUUAUUUAGUCUCCAUGAGAUAUAUGGCAUGUUGUGAUUUUUUUGAAAUUUAAUUGUUCUCACUGACUCACUUUUGUCAAAAUUGGUUUCUAUUUUCCUUAUCCAACACUGAUUCUAAUUCAAUUAUCUGGUAUAACUUUAUUUGCUUGAGCAAAAAUUAAUAAAAAUAUCCAUGUUAGAAACAAUGAGCUUAAGGUUAUUUAUUCUGCUUACUAGUUGACAUUAUACUUAGAGGUAUAGAUUAAAGCAUCAAUUAGAAAUGGGCCAUUUUUCAGAACCAGUUCUUGAAAGCAAAACUUUUUUGAUGUAUAUUGGUAUGAUUAGAAUCUCUAUCCUUCAUAUUGUAACAGUAUGUUUUUAGGAAAGAAAAAAGAAUGAGAUUGAGAGAAAGAUGGAGUAUAGAUAGGUAAGGAUCAUAACUAUUUGUUUAAUGAAAUUUCUUUCACAAUUCAUAGGUUAUUCAAUUUUCUUUUAGCAAAAUUGAUAAUAUAUUAGUCUUCUGUAAGAAUAGAGUGGUAUCUUGGAGAAGUUCCUGCAUCUUUUUGAUUUUCAGUUUCCUUAUAUUUAAAAUGAGGAAGCCAGAGGGCAUGAUCCCCUUCUACCUCUGAACCAUAGUAGUUGUGUGGCCAUGGUCAAGUUAUAAAACAUGGCAGUGAUGGAGACAACUCUUUAAGUCUGAAAGUUAUAGGAUAAUAUACUUUGGUGGAGAGUGGUUUCAAUGCUGAGAAUUGUCAAUCUUAAAAUUUCUUAGACUCUACUUCAGAAGAUUUGAUUAAGCUAUUCCCCAUUUUAAACAAUGCAGGUACUUGGUCAGGAAUGUAUUGAGAACUUAACCUUACUCCACCCAUACUUAGGCAUACUUUAGGGGAAGAUAAAGUUGUAAACUCCUUACUGAACAAUGAAAAAAGUACUUAACUCAUACUUAUAGUGAAGCAAAAGCCCUUAAAUUAGGUCUAUUUUUAGAUCUAAUACAAAAGGGUGCUAAGUACCUAUGAAGGUUAAAUUAAUCACUAAAAGGUCAGGCAACUUGCAAGGGACAACUUUAGCAAAGAGGUAUGAAAUACUCAGAAGUUUUAGUCUACCCAGAGAAGGUGUGAAUUAAGAAUGGUCAGUCCAUUGGAAAAUGUCUACUGUGAUUGGUAGAUGUGAAAAUUUAGGGGAGGUGACAUAGGAGAAAAUUCUCUUUAAAAGGAGCUGUCUGAACCAGUUCAAGGGAGUUCAAUUUAGUUCAGCUUUGGAAGCUGAAUAGGAGCUGGUCUCUCUGAACACUAGAGUUUUGCUUGAAAGGAUCUUGUGGUGAGUGAUUAAAGACUGACUUAGUUUUCUCUCUUAUGGCCUAGGCACUAGCCUUCCUAUUAUUUCCUCUUACUCUGUCUCUUUCCCUUUCCGUAAUUCCUUCAUUUGUAUUAAUUAAAUCUCCAUAAAACCCAGCUGACUUGGGUAUUUCAUAUUUGGGAAUUUUUCCCAUGGUGACCACUUAUUUUUGAUUUAAAUCAAGACACUAAAAAUUAUCUUUACAGUUUGGCAAUUCACAGUCUUGUACCCACAUUUUCGUGGUCACAGAAUUCCCUACACUGAGGAAGUUGCAUGCCUCCUCUAACAAAAAAAUAUGUGCCUGAAUAUUAUUUUACAAAUGUAACUAGGUAGUUUAAUGGAUAGAACACUGGACAAGGAGGCAGAAAGUCCUGGUUAUAAUUCCUUACCCAGAUUCAUGCUAGUUCUGUUUUCCUAGACCAGCCACUGAACCUUACUUAGCUUCCAUUUCUUUAGCUGUAAAAAUUCAGCUCAUAAUAGCAUCUACUUCACAGGGGUGUUGUGAAGAUCAAAUGGUAUAACAUGUGUAAAGUGCUUUGCAAAUAAUGCUCUACAUAAAUGUGAGUAUUAAUAAAUGAUGUUGGAAACACUUUUUUUUCCAAGAAAGAUAUCAAUCUUCUUCUAGAUGACUAAUUCUGAUACUAAUUCAACCACCGAACACUUUGGUGUUUAAUGGAACUCCUAAAUGCUGUUUGAGUAUCAAGACAUUGACUCUCUAGGGGAAAAAGGAAUGGGAUGGGAUAAGUAUGGGGGAAAUGGUAAUUUAGACUAUUUUCAUGAAGACAGAUUUUUUUACUUAAGGAGUAUUUCUAUGCAAUCAAUUUUGUACUUUAUAUUGAAAAGGAAACUAACACUUGUUAAGAAAUCCUCCAGAUGAUAAGCAUCAGUGAAACAGUCUGGAAAACACUGGACUACAUAAGGUGGGAGAGUUUCUUAAAGAUGAUGAUAAAUAUGAUUGGUAAAUGUUGAUUCAGAAUGCAGUAUGCAUAGAUAUGUAGGUGGAGAAGUUAGCAUGAUGAAUUCUAAAUGAAAAUACAACGUGAGAGAAAUUUGAAAAAAAACUCUGGUUCUGGUUUCCUUUUAGCAAAGGGAACAGACUCUAUGUAAAAAAUAAUCACUUCAGUAAAGAAAACUGAACUCACUGGUCGAAUUUUAAGCACGCCUAAGGGUCACUGUAAGUAACGAGAAGUUCAGUUCCCCGGUAACUCUAAUGUACAAGUGAUUUGGCUGCUAAUGUGGAAAUUUAAUGUAUGCUUCUUUAGUUCUGUAGUCUUCAUCCACUUAGUGUCAGUCUUCUCAGCAUGAUAGAGUCUCAGCACAAGUAUUACACUUGCCUAUGGCAAUACUGCAUGAAAUAUUGAGUCACUAAUAAGUUGUAGCUCAGCAGGAAAAAAAAAAGUUUUUUCGCCCUCCUUAAUGGUUAAAGAGUUAAUGAUUCUUUUGCAUCUUUGAUAGUGUUUUAUUUGAGUACUUAUAUUCACCUGCUUCUAUUCAAGAUUUGGCAUGAAAAACUAUUUUCCUCUUAUACUAACAAAUAGUAGACCUGAUGAAAACCCUUUAAUGACAUCCUUUCUAAUAGACUACACACACACACACACACACACACACACACACACACACACACACACACACACACAAAUACUGUAUUGCUAAAAAAAAAUUCCAGCAAAUAAUUUUUUUAGUUAUUUGCCCAAAAAUGUAAGCAAAUGUGUUCAAACUUAACACUAAUGAAUGUAAUGAAUUCAUAAUAACAUGUUAUACCAUUGAGCCAAAGGACAAGUGUUUUUCAUUCUCCAAAAACAAUUAGAAAAAAAAGGCACUUUUGGCCCAAUUUGAACUCUAGGAAUUUAUUUGGCAAGGCAGAGGGUAAUUCUUUUCAUUUGUCUUUAAGUUAUUCCAUUUGAUUUUCAUUUAAAAAAGUGUUUUCAUAUACCUGUUAAAGAAUACAUGUGCUAAACUUGCUUAAAGUUAAAAGAAGUGAUGGCUCUAUAAUCUAGAAAUCUCAGAGUAGCAGAGUUUAGUUGACUCAAAAUUCAUACUUUAUAUAAUGAAUUUGAAUAAAGUUUCCUAAUUUCAUUACAAUCAAACUUUUUCAAUCUCCCCAGGUACCAGCAUGGAUUUUGCAACAAAACCCUCCAAAAACCUUUAAUCUAAACUUCAUUGAAGAUAUAUUAUGCAAAAAUAUUAAAGAUAGUAAUCACUUUUGGCCAACUCUUAGUAUGACUGAAAGAUUCCUUUCCCUGGGAAAUAUAUGAGAUUGGAAUAUCCAGUGUCUAGCAUAAAGCUUGCUACAUAAGUAUUUUAAAACAUUUAUUGAUUUUAGGUUGAUUCAUUUUGAUAAUUAUGAAUAUAAUCGAGGUGUUGCUUCUAGUUAACAAUGUUCUCCUAUCUAAUGUCUACAAACAUUUUAUUUUUGGAAUUGACCCUCAUUGUAUCCUUGACUAAAGAUGGGUUGGAUUGCAUUUCACUUCAGCCAAUUGGUGCACAGUCUCAGACAAUUAAGUUUUCUAAAAAUAAUAUGUUAUUUCAUCUACAAAUAAAAAGCAUGGAUUAUGGAAAUUGAUUGAACUUUUAUUUAUAUUAAUAGUUGAAAUUCAAAUUCACUGUUUCUUAAAACUAUGCAUGACAUGAUUAAUUAGUCAAUAUAAAAGUCAUUCAGUUCUCAGACCAAAAUAGUAAGUAAGAAUCAUAGAACAUUUAAGAUGGAAAGAACCUUAGAGAUCACAGAGGAUAAAUUAAGCCUUAGCAAUAGUUAAAUAGAAUAUGAAGGUAAAGAUAGGGAUAGGAUUUAUCCCAAAUCAUAUAGUCUGAUUUUAAGAUAGAAAAGGAAUUUCAACUCAGGUGUCCUGACUACCAGUUAGUUCAAUACUUUUCAUACUAUCCCUCAUUCUUGGUUUUAGUUCUUUAUUAGACAAAUAAAUUUUCAUUUCUAAUAGCUCUUUAAUCAUUUUCAUUAUUGAUCAAAAGAAAAUUCUUACAUAUUUUUUCUAUAAUACACUCUUCUCUAUUUUUUUUAUCACAAACACCCUAAAUUAGAGAGUUUUAUUGGAAUGUACCUCUACUUUCAUGGGGAAAUUAUGGAUCUUCAAAAUGAUGACCCUGUGAUAAGAAAGGUCCUAAAUGAAUACAUUAUCUUGACAGAAUGGAAGCUUCUCAGUGAUAGGUAGUCUCUUGAUUUUGUCUUUGCAUUAUCAAAGUUAAGUUCAGUGCCAUUCAUCUAGCAGACACUAAAUAAAUGUGUGUUGAAUUGACUUAUGAACCAUAUAAUUUAUUAAGUUAUAUUUAACGUAAUUUAAUGGUAAAAUUAACUUUAUUUCAGCUAUAUCAGAAAUUCUUAUAUGUUAUAUAUGAUAACUUAUCACCCAGACUACUGGAUUAGUAAGAAAAAUUUACAAGAAAAAUUUUAUAACAUGAACCAUGUUAAACGUUUAAAUAUUUAAGUAGUAGGAAAUAGAUGCACAAAGAUUCAGUAUCAUUCUUAGUUACAACCCCUCAUUUUUACAUUUUUUUUGUCACCACAAAGAGCUUGGCUAUAAAUAUUUUUGUACAAGUAUUUAUUAUCUCUUUGGGUUAAAAACCCAGCAGUGGUAUGGCUGGAUCAAAGGGCAUGCAUUCUUUUAAAGCUCUUUGUUCAUAUUUACAAAUUGCCCUCCAGAAUGGUUGGCCCAUUUCACAAUUCCACCAGUAGUGUAUUUGUGUCCCAAUUUUGCCCCAAUCCCAAUAAAUCCCACAUAAUUAAAUUUCUGAUUCACAUUUCUUCUGGUAUGUUAUCAGGAAUACUUAGUAAAAUUUAAAAAAAAACUACAUUCCAUCAUCAGAAUUGUUUUAUAAAAAUCAUUUGGAAAUUGCAAUACUAAUUACUUUUUUCUGUAGUCUAAAAAGUCCCCCAAUUUUUUCAAAGAUAAAAAGUAAAUUAUAAAAACAAGAUCACUGCUGUGCAGAAAUCAGUUUAUUAUUCUCUUAUUGACUCCCUAUCUCACUCCCCACAGUGACUGUUAAAAGCUUUCUCCUCUAUUCUCUAAUGACCUAUUCUACUCUGAGGAUGUACUUUGAAUCUAGAGCCUUAUUUUACUUUACUGAAACUGAGAACAUUUAUUAUAAUCUACCUCAUUUUCCUUCCUUUAUUUAUCAGAGCCUGUACCUGUUUUUACCCAAGUUCCUUUUUUCCCCUCCUUUUCGCUGAUUUCAGAUAAAGAAACAAGCUCAGAUAAUUUAAGAGAAUUUUCCAAAAUUAUGUAGUUUGUGUCACAGGUAGAAUCAAAAUCAUUCCUUUCCUGUCUCUAAGUUCAAAUCUCUUUCACUUAUAUCAGACCUCCUUAAUGGUAGUCUUUUAUACUAAGGCAAACCCUACUACAUGCACUCAUGAAUACAUUUUCUUCUUGUCUCUGGAAUCCUCUUUCAUCACUAGCCUUUAAUCUUAAACCCCUUUCUCUCUCUACUUUCCUUUUCCCUAUAAAUCUCAGAUUUUCACUACCUUAGAAAAAUCUUUUUUUUAUCUUGUUUUAUUUUCUCUCUCUUCUAUUUCACUGUCAAACCUACAAAAAUAGUCUAUACUCACUUUUCCCAUUUCUUCACUACUCUGCAACUCCUCAAAUUACUUACAAGCAGAUUCUAUCCCAAUCACUUAACUGAACUUGCAACAUAAUACAGUAUAAAGAACACUGAUUUUGUAGUCAGAGGUCCUAGAUUGAGUAAGUAUAAUUUUGUCCAAGUUAUGUAAUCAUCCUGGAUCAUAGUUUCCAUAUUGGUAUAGUCAGGAAGUUGGAUUAGAUGACCUUUGAUUUAUUGCCCAGCUCUACAUAUAAGACUCUAAGGUAUAAUCUUAUGAAAGUUACUCUAUCAUAACACCUCAGAUUGGGAAUGAAUGAUAGAGGGCAACUAAUUCAGAGGUGGUAACCUCAUAUAAAAAUAGAUGCCAAUAAAUAGUAUCUCUACAGGAUGCAAUUGACUUAGAAAAACCAAGUAUUAUACAUGAGAGGAUCAUAGAAUACUUUACCAGUCAGAUUUAGGUUUUAGGGAAGAAUUGGUUUUAAUGUCUCCUGCUAAAUAUAUGUGUAUUUAUAAUAUACAUCUCAUUGUCAGUUAUAUGGAGUGAUACCUCACUUGUGUAGAAACAGCUUUUAUUGAGAGACAGAAGGUUUAUCUAUUAAAAACUAGAAAAAAGUGAACAUUAAGAACUAUAGUUUCAAAAAACAGAAGAGUGAUUUGGGGCCUUCAUGAGGGAUAUAAAGAUUAUGGUACCACAGCUAAUUUGUAUAUGCAUAUAUAUUACAAAUAAAGCUGAUAAAAUGGAGAAGAUAUAAACAUUUUGGGGGUUGGCAAUAUGAUUUAAACAGUGUCAAUUUUAUAGGGAAAAUUUAGGGAGUUUGGGCUUGUUCCAUAAAA